rnacentral:rRNA from 1 species
GGGUUGUGAGGUUAAGCGACUAAGCGUACACGGUGGAUGCCCUGGCAGUCAGAGGCGAUGAAGGACGUGCUAAUCUGCGAUAAGCGUCGGUAAGGUGAUAUGAACCGUUAUAACCGGCGAUUUCCGAAUGGGGAAACCCAGUGUGUUUCGACACACUAUCAUUAACUGAAUCCAUAGGUUAAUGAGGCGAACCGGGGGAACUGAAACAUCUAAGUACCCCGAGGAAAAGAAAUCAACCGAGAUUCCCCCAGUAGCGGCGAGCGAACGGGGAGCA